rnacentral:rRNA from 1 species
UACGUAGGGGGCAAGCGUUGUCCGGAUUUAUUGGGCGUAAAGAGCGUGUAGGCGGCCUGAAAGGUCAGCUGUGAAAACUCGAGGCUCAACCUCGAGACGUCGGUUGAAACCAUCUGGCUAGAGUCCGGAAGAGGAGUGUGGAAUUCCCGGUGUAGCGGUGAAAUGCGCAGAUAUCGGGAAGAACACCCGUGGCGAAAGCGGCUCACUGGACCACAACUGACGCUGAGGCGCGAAAAGCUAGGGGAGCAAACAGG